ensembl:lncRNA
GGGCCCUUCCUAGUUGUCUUGACAACACCCACUGCUCUCAAGGUUGACAGCAUAUCUACUUGGGUUCACUACACCCACAUACGGCCUGCGGACCUGUUCUCCUAAGGGAAGAAUUCCUCCACCAAUGGAAGACCAAGCUGGACAAAACAAAUCCACUCGAACUCAAGCUACAAAGGCGAUAAAAGUACUGUUUAUACUGUUGUCUCUACGGCUUAGUGCUGCCACUAACCCUCAUCAACCAAUGAACUUGACUUGGAUGAUUCUAAGCACAACUAGGGGAGAAGUAAUUAACUCCACCUCAGCCAUUCAUCCCCAAAACACCUGGUGGCUGGACUUGGAAUUCGACUCUGUCUUCUGGCCACAGGAUCUUGGGACAUCGGCGAAUGGGAGAGGACAAAGUGAACAGUCAAAUUAAAAUGGGCCCAAUCGCUCCAGGACAUAAAGAACACAGACAACCUCAAGGACAUCAGACUGUGCACAAGAAAGAAGUAAAUAUUCAAAUUGUGGUGAGUCCCGUGCAGCUAACCGUCAAGUGAAGCGACUGCCUUCCUCUCAGCUCCAUCCCAGCCCAGUUAUAAGAUGCACCCCAUCUGUGAUCUUUCUAAGUGGGAAAAAAGCUAGGAAAACUUCAUAAUGAAUUAUAUACUGAAAUUAACUGAUUCGCUCUAAAUUNNNNNNNNNNNNNNNNNNNNNNNNNNNNNNNNNNNNNNNNNNNNNNNNNNNNNNNNNNNNNNNNNNNNNNNNNNNNNNNNNNNNNNNNNNNNNNNNNNNAACUUUAUAAUGAAUUAUAUACUGAAAUUAACUGAUUCGCUCUAAAUUUACCCAUUUGCCCUAGAAAUAAACUGGAAAAGCCAUAAAAAUGUAUAAGUAUGUAUUCAUCCUGGUUCCAGUGAUGAAGGCCACGUGGUGGCUUACCCAGAUAUGCCAAGACUGGCUGCCUCUGUCUGCUAAUGCGUUAUCCUCACACUGUGUGCAUCAUUUUUUAAAAACACCAGUGACACACUGUCCAAAAUUGAGUUAUUUUUAUACCUGUCUUAUUUCUUCAUUAGAUGGGAUGGACCUGGAUAUUAUCAUACUAAGUGAAGCAAGUCAGACAGAGAAGAACAAAUAUCACAUAAUAGCUCUUAUACACAAAAUCUAAAAACAAAAUGACACAAAUGAAUUUACUUAUAAAACAGAAAUAGGCUCACAGAUUUAGAGAAUGAACUUGUGGUUACCAGGAGAGAAGGAAGAUAGGAAAGAUAGAUUGGGAAUUUGGGAUUAACCUGUAUGCACUGCUAUAUUUAAAAAUUGAUAACCAUCAAGGACCUACUGUAUAGCAUAGGGAACUCUCAAUAUUCUGUAAUAACCUAAAUGGGAAAAAAUGGAAAAGAAUAUAUACAUUCAUAUGUAUAACUGGAUCAGUUCACUGUACACCCAAAACUAACACAAAACUGUUAAUCAACUACACUCCAAUAUAAAUAAAUAAAGAUUAAAAAAAAAAAAAAGAUUUGAACUGCAGUGGCACCAGGGCCAGGUCAUAUACGAAUACUUAAAAGAAAAGUUCCAGAUGACACAGCUCAUUAGAACAGAUCAGAGGGAGAGAUAUUUUGAAAUCUCUUUGAUUUAUGACCUACUGUAAGAUAUGGAGACAUUAUUUAUUAUCAAUAUGUAUGCCUGCUAGCAUCUCGCUAGAGUCACUGGUUGGUCAGCCCAAUCCAAUGGACAUAAACUCUCUGUGUUCUUUCUAUUGGCGUGUGUGUUAGCUGCUCAGUCAUGUCCAACUUUUUGUGACCCCAUAGACUGUAGCCUGCCAGGCUCCUUUGUCCAUGGGAUCUUCCAGGCAAGGAUAGUGGAGUGGGGAUCUUUCUUUCUCCAGGGGAUCUUCCUGACCCAGGGAUCAAACCCGGGUCUCCUGCAUUGCAGGUGGAUGCCUUACCAUCUGAUCUACUAGGGAAGUCCAUCUUGGUGGGCUGGUACAGGUUCUAUUGGUACAGGCAAUCAAUCUAAAUGUGGUAACUAACAUCCCUGAAAAAGGAAUGAUUCUCCAAUGCUUGGGGACCUGACCUAGAGAUAGGAGUUUUCAGGGAGAAGGCAAGUCGGUAGGAAGAAGAUAGACUAUAACAAGCUUCCCUCCACAAUUUUCAUUUCAAUUCCUUACAACAGCAUCCUUCUAUA